rnacentral:lncRNA from 1 species
CCCCUGCCCAUCUCAGGAGGGGAGUGUCAGAGCAGCUUUGGUGGACAUUGGCAUCCAGAGGGUCAAGCACCACAUUCCCACUUAUUCCUAAAUUAACAAACAUUAUUUUUGACACAUCCUUUAGGAAAUCUCCACGUUAUAACUCCCUCCCAUGUGGAUAAAAACAGAUCUGUGAUGGUGGAAAUUCACACUGGAUGCACUGGGACCUCUGAGUUGCUCAACCCAACAUUCCUGACAGGUGAAUCCUUGCACAGCUGUUUUGGUGAAACACAAGCCACCAGGAGAAGAAGUUUUUCUUGCUGAGCCCCAAAUCACCCCACAGGGACCACACCACACCACGUAAGAUCCACCAUCCCAUUCCCAAGGCUGACUGCGGGGCCGUGGUGUCUCCUGCCUGGAAGAAAUUCCCACAUUUCACCUGGAUGCUCCUUCUCCUCAAGAAGCAACAUUUCUUUUCUUAUUUGGAAUUGGAGCCAUUCCUUGCCUGGGGGCUCCUUUAUUUCAUUGGGAGAAACAUUUUGAGUGACUUCUCAGUGGGUUUUGGAUGACUGAUGUCAAUUUUUUGAUGGACACCUUCCCCUGCUGAUGGAGUUUUCCCCCUUUUUUUAUCCUUCAUAUGAAGUGGUUUGACAACUCUGUUCACCUCUUCCUUUGUGAUUUGCUGAAAUUUAUGACAGGAGGAAUUGGAACAAAUUAGAACAAAUAAAAAAGUUA